GUUGUUUCUUUCACGCUCUGAUUGAACCGAACGGAACCCUAAGGAAGGAAUAUGGCUGCUGAAACCGACGCGAGAUGCCAGGGAGAUGUAAGAAAGCUAGCCCUCUUCUUUGAGAAACUCGGCGCCUCUUCUCCUCCUGAUACGAGAAAAAGUUCAGAAAUCAUCAAUCGAAAAGCUUGCGGAGGAUCCCCCGCUGGUUCAGGCACCUAUACAGGCUAUACUCCUGUUGUCUCCAUGGGGCAGAAUGACUUCUGAGGACCCGUGGCCAGGGGAGAUGCUUCUGUGGACAAAUGACAAUUUGUGCCUCGCGAUGUGUGUUCUAAGUUGCACCCCCCUUAUUCUGAUUGCCCUUACAUCCCUUGUGAUAUUUGUGACAAGGUUCACGACUCUGCUCGUUGCCCUUACUUCGACCAUCUCCCACAAGGGGCAACUUUUCCCCCUGGAUAUGAAAUAGUUUGUCGAUGUGGUAAUUUAUUUAACGAGGAUAAGUGGGCUUGUAGCUAUUGUGGUGGGAGCAUGCCAGUGCUUAAGGCCAAGUUUUGUUCCAUUUGUAAUAUCGGGUAUCAGCACAGUGUAUAUGAAUGCCCAAAGGAUAUUGCUCUUGCUGCCAAGUAUAAAUCGGUUAGAGACAAGAUGCUUUCACGUGUGCCGAUUCCCUAUCGCCCUGUCUAUCCAGAAUCAUCAUCAGGAAUUCCCUAUGUUCCAACUACUCCUUCCUC